AGGAAAUGAAAGCCCAGAGUUGUCUGCAUCCACACCUCUUUUACCAUUUCCUCAUUCAACCUGGCCACGAGGAAGAAGCCAAUCUAUAGAAAAGGAAGAAGACAACAUGUAGAACCUGAGCUUGGAGAUGGAGGGAGAUGGUAAAAUGUAAUCACAUUGUCUAAGUCACUGGGCUUCCUGGGGCCAGCUUACUCCUGGACUUCCCUGCUAUUUGAACCCAUCAUUCCAGUUUGGCUUAACUCAGGAAAUACAUCUCACUCUGAGAUGAAUAUGGAUGGUUACAAUAAAAAUUAAGUGCAUGUACGGUAAAUGGGCAUUGUUGGAUAAAUGCAGUGAUGGAAGAAAAUAAGAUGGUGGUCAUGCCAUUUCUACCUGACUUCCUUUUCUCCAACUUGAUGAUACUCUACCUUCAGAAACAGGGAACCUUUGUUCUUAAACAGAGGAAGUUGUAAACUCUCCAAUAGCAAAUUUUAUUAACUCAUAGGCAAUACUAUAAAUGAUGGUACUCUAUUGAGUCAAUGCCUUCAACAUGAAUCAGGAGAUUAACUUUUGCUGCAAACUGUCAA
rnacentral:lncRNA from 1 species